CAGGCUGAAGCACCCGGGAAGUUUCUGCUUGAGUGAGCCACGAAAUCCAAGCAACUUGCAGUCACAGGGGUGAGGGCAGCUGCCCGGUAUAGCGUUCCAGCAUCACAGCGCUUCAGUGAGUCAGAAAUGAGCAUUUGUAUGCUAGGCUGUGGAGGACUUGUUUUUGCUUCAGCUAUGUCCAACCUAUGCCUGACUGGGGUCGUUGACCUGUAGUUGGUUUCAGGGCUUUGGGAAAACUCCAAAAUAGGAGGCCGAAUACCAUGAAUACAUUAUGUGUGUUUUGUGAGUGGAGUGGAAACAUAUGUUACAUGGCAUUCAGCAUGGAUUUCACUAUGGUGCCUGCAUGAAGUUCAUGGAAAACUAGAGACUUCGCUUGAAAGAGAGUCUCCUUC
rnacentral:lncRNA from 1 species